GGGCUUGCUCUGUCUGAUCAGUGGCGAACGGGUGAGUAACACGUGAGUAACCUGCCCCCGACUCUGGAAUAACCGUGGGAAACGACGGCUAAUACCGGAUAUGAGACGCACGGGCAUCUGUGUGUCUGGAAAGAUUUAUCGGUCAGGGAUGGACUCGCGGCCUAUCAGCUUGUUGGUGGGGUAAUGGCCUACCAAGGCGACGACGGGUAGCCGGCCUGAGAGGGCGACCGGCCACACUGGGACUGAGAUACGGCCCAGACUCCUACGGGAGGCAGCAGUGGGGAAUAUUGCACAAUGGGCGCAAGCCUGAUGCAGCGACGCCGCGUGAGGGAUGAAGGCCUUCGGGUUGUAAACCUCUUUCAGCAGGGAAGAAGCGAAAGUGACGGUACCUGCAGAAGAAGCGCCGGCUAACUACGUGCCAGCAGCCGCGGUAAUACGUAGGGCGCAAGCGUUGUCCGGAAUUAUUGGGCGUAAAGAGCUCGUAGGCGGUUUGUCGCGUCUGCUGUGAAAACCUGAGGCUCAACCUCGGGCUUGCAGUGGGUACGGGCAGACUAGAGUGCGGUAGGGGUGACUGGAAUUCCUGGUGUAGCGGUGGAAUGCGCAGAUAUCAGGAGGAACACCGAUGGCGAAGGCAGGUCACUGGGCCGCAACUGACGCUGAGGAGCGAAAGCAUGGGGAGCGAACAGGAUUAGAUACCCUGGUAGUCCAUGCCGUAAACGUUGGGCACUAGGUGUGGGGCUCAUUCCACGAGUUCCGUGCCGCAGCAAACGCAUUAAGUGCCCCGCCUGGGGAGUACGGCCGCAAGGCUAAAACUCAAAGAAAUUGACGGGGGCCCGCACAAGCGGCGGAGCAUGCGGAUUAAUUCGAUGCAACGCGAAGAACCUUACCAAGGCUUGACAUACACCGGAAAAGUGCAGAGAUGUGCUCCCCGCAAGGUCGGUGUACAGGUGGUGCAUGGUUGUCGUCAGCUCGUGUCGUGAGAUGUUGGGUUAAGUCCCGCAACGAGCGCAACCCUCGUCCUAUGUUGCCAGCGGGUCAUGC
rnacentral:rRNA from 1 species